AAGACACUGACGAUGCAGUAAACAGAUCAGGAGCAACUCAGUCAAAACCAGUCUUUGCCCAAUUCAGUACUUCUUUUCAAGAGAAAAUCCAGUCUUGCAAUUAACCAGUUACAUCGGUUUCCAUUUCCAAAACGGCAAAACUCAAAUCACAUGCAAAAUCUACAAGCUGAAACCUAAUCCAACCGGUCAGUGGUUUAUAAAAUUCUUACACAUAGGGGUCCCUGCUGGUCAACAACGCGGAAGCCACUACUCUGCGAAAAUGGGCCGAAAAUCCCAGAGUCAUCUCCAUUCUCCACGAAUUUGCACUUCUGUGCAUGGAAAACCAAAUCAUUUCCAGAUGCUGAUAUGUAUAAAAAGCAAGUUCACAUGUUAGCAAAACCUGAGGGUGACAUAAGAAAGAAAGGUGAUCAUCAAAUAGUCACACGUGAUGAAAGUUGAAAAGUACCGGGCACAGAUGUCACCAAGAUGCAAAGCUCCCAGGAAGCCCGUGAUGGAAGUCAGUGGAUUGUGACUUUGUGAGGCAGGAUAAGCUGAAGCCGCGCAACUUGCACAUUUGCUCACAGGAUCCAGAAAGCAGGAUAUUUCUUUCUUGAUACUCCCAGUAAACCCGCGAAGGCAAAUAAGCAAGACAUGGUCAAUUUCAAGUGGUUGUAAGUUUCCAGUAACAGCCACGCGUCGCAAGAAAGGUGCAUGAAACAUCUACAACCAUGGAGAUAAUGUAUUACUGUGUAUAAGGCUUAUUUCAACUUAACUAGUAGUAAAGUAGUGAUCUAAAACGUCUUAUAUUAGUGUACAGAGGGAGUAUAUUCUUAUUAUUUAGAUUGUCAGAAGAGGAUAUAUGAAAUAGGAAGCGACACAAAUAACACAAGGUUCUUUACCUGUGGUCAACGAGAAAAAAUAUUUAAUGUCUGGUAGAUGAUUAGAUUGCUCAAGGAUCAGAAAGUAAUGAUACUAGUGGUGACUGGCCUUUAUUAUUGCCCAAAAAAAUGGUCCCAGGCAUAUUGAAUAGACCUAUCUACUGACCAGAAGAAGUAUACAACAUAACUGCCAACAUGCAGAGCAUGGGAGAGGAUGCUAAGAGCUGUAACAGCAUUUAAGCUCACUUCAGUUGUUACUUUGACAGCAUCACAAAAUAAAAGCAAAUGGAAACAUUUCUGGUUAGCUACGCAGCCAAAGAGAAGAAUAUUAUUGAAUCCCCUAUUCUCAUAGUGUAAACUAAUCUUUGCGGCGGCACAAGAUUUUAAUUUUCCAAUGAGCCCAGGACCCUUGCGAGAAAUUAAUCGUAACAAUCCUUUAUCUUCAACUAGAAUGUUAUAUCCAGUUUUUCAUUUCAGAGGCCAGUAAAAUGCUUCCAAUUACUUCACGGCAAGAUCAGUACUCCCUCCGAUCCGAAUUAAAUGAUGCAAUGUAUAGAGGUUGCAUCAAUUAAUUCGGAUCGGAGGGAGUAGCAUAUAUCAUGACUUUACGCAGGCAGCAAAGCAUAUUCUUUUUACCUUGGGACUAAAAUUUCACUUCACUACUAUGGAGUCCCUCCCUACAGACAAAGUUAAUGGGUGAAUUACAGAAAAUGAUAUUUCAUCAUAUGAACUUCCAAUUUUUUUACUUAUAAUUAAUUAUGCCUAUAAUUCUGCAUAACCUGUCUGUGAAAUCUGAAAAGAAAUACUUUCCAAAGGACUGCAAACAUCAUCUCCUAAACCCUGACCACACUAGGUAAUGGUAAACCAAAACAGUUACAGCCCAUUCAUAGCGAACCUACCAAAACCAUGAACAGUAGACUCAGACCACUUGUUUGUUUAUUUUCAUGUAGAAACAAAAAAGAACAAAUAAAAGGUCACUAUCUUUUAAUGGCCACAUCAAGGAUCUCACUUCCGUUGCUUCCUCCAUCCUCUUCUUUCUUGGAGCCAAGCCAAACUCUUAUUUAUUCUGCACAACCAAUACUUCAACACAGAAUAGUACCAUCCAUGAAGGUUCAAAGGCAUGGCAAGACUAAAAUCCUCUUCAAUAAUCCAAAUAGCCUGUAGGAACUAGGAUCGACGGUAAGAUACGCCCUGCUUCAUAGAUACUACAAUGGAUAAUAUUAGCAACAUCUUCCACAAUGACCUACUCCCAUCUCUAGGAGCAAGAGCAAACCAAUCUAUCAAGUUGAGAAAAUUCAUCAUUUCUCCCUAUGAUUCCCGUUACAGGUAAAAUCACACUCUUUACUUUCUCUCGCAUCAUAUAUGUAUGUGUACACAAAUACUUAGUAUAGUCUUCCACUCUUGUGGGUCUGCAGGAUCUGGGAAACGUUCUUGCUUGUGCUCGUUGUUUAUUCAGCAUGGAUCUACCCGUUUGAGCUAGCAUUUCUGAGACAUCUCUCAUGGAAGCUUUUCCUAGUUGAGAACAUUGUCAACAGCUUCUUCGCAAUUGAUAUUGUUCUCACCUUUUUUCUAGCGUAUCUUGAUCACAAGUCUUAUCUUCUAGUGGAUAAUCCAAAAAGGAUUGCAGCUAGGUUGGUACUUGCACCUCAACCGUGUCAUUCUUAAUGGUAAAGCACAUGUGCAAAGCUAACAAUUUGAACAACACUGACAUGAGCCUGUACACAGAUAUCUCUCUUCCUGGUUCAUUCUUGACGUCUGUUCCACGAUUCCAUAUCAACCGUUUGGGCUACUCUUUAACAAGCAUGGAAAUGGCCUUGCCUAUAGGACACUUAACAUGCUUCGAUUAUGGCGUCUCCGACGCCUCAGUGCUUUAUUUGCCAGGUAUGUGUCGUUUUAUUAUUUGAAACUUGAAAAUAAGAGAACCGAAAAUUACUAAGGUAAAUCGCCCCUCUAGGCUUGAAAAGGAUAUCCGAUUGAACUACUACUGGAUAAGGUGCACCAAACUAAUUUCUGUAAGUUUGCAUCCUCUCCUCUCCAAGUAUGAAACAAAUUGAUGUAUUACUGCCCUGAUGAAUAAAACAUAACUCUGCAUGUUUGACUGAGCAUUGCAGGUUACUCUUUUUGCAAUACAUUGUUCAGGAUGUUUCAUUUACUUAAUAGCUGAUACAUAUCCCGAUCCAUCAAGAACCUGGAUAGGAGCAGCAAUACCAAACUACAGAUCAGAGAGUCUAUGGAUUCGAUAUGUGACAGCAAUUUAUUGGUCCAUUACAACACUCACAACAACUGGUUAUGGCGAUUUACAUGCGGAGAAUCCAAGAGAAAUGUCAUUUUGCAUAUGUUUCAUGCUAUUUAACCUGGGAUUGACAGCAUACCUCAUUGGUAACAUGACAAACCUAGUUGUCCAGGGAAGUUGCCGUACCAGGAACUUUGUACGUACUCUUCCAAAUACCUUUCAAGAUUUGUUUUGUCAUUCUGUGAUUGUUGAUAUUCCUGCCUGGCUUUACAUAAGGAUUGGAAUAAGAAACGGAAAUGGAAGUAAGAAG
rnacentral:lncRNA from 1 species